GCAGGCGCGCGGCGGCGCUUCCUGGGAACUCGGGCUCGGCGGAACCCGGGCAGCGGUGACUCAGCGCCUGAGGCGAGGAGGGCAGCGGGGUUCCCUCCCCGCGAAGCCGAAGAGCUUCACUUCUCGGCCCUCGCCGCCCCCAAAGUUGAGGCCGCCCCGGGGCCGGGCUACGGUGCAAGCUCGCCGCCUCAGCCGGCUCCGUGCGCUGCCCGAUCGUUGGAAGCCCUGAGGAGCUCGGAAGUUUUUCAUUUGGGGCGGGGAAAGGUCUUGAACUUGCUCAGAGUUGUGGGGUGAAGCCACAGCUUUCUGGAGGCAUUUGGGGAACGUGAAGAACGUCAGAGACAAAUUGGUGCUGGCAGCUACUGUGUUGUGGUUUUUCACCUGCGGUCAGUCCUCAGUGUGUCUGCCCUCUGAUGCCUCUCGCAACACCUACCAUCUUACUUGGGUUUCUCUUACCUUGGACGGUGGCUGAGAGGAGCAACCCCACGUCCAAGGAGUGGUGGUUGCGCGGGCGCAGGAGGGCCAAGAGGAGCUACUCCACGUUCAAGGUAAGGAGGGGUGGCCCUGAGGAGAUACCCCUUGUCCAAGGUAAGGAGCAGCAGCUGUGCUUCGCUGGAGCAGCCAUGAAGAGAUACCCCACCUCCAAGGGCUCCUGGGAGGGUCAGAUGAGACAAUGAACAUGACAGUGCCUCGUAAACUGCCUUCUUGGAACCACCCAGCAGGAAUACCAACGGUCGUGGUGCCGAAGGAGUCGUCUUACUGCAUGGGAAGUCUUGGCACCCUUUGGAACUUACAGAAAGAUCCACGGACAGACAAAGUGGCCACUUAUUGCUGCUCCAGAGCAUGACCCAAGGAGUGGGUAGUGGACUCCCUCUGUUACUUGUUACUCAGUCCACAGUCUACAGGCUGAAGUGUAGAAAGCCAUUGUCAAGGGUGGAGAGGAAGGCCAUCUUCAAGGGUGAAGGUUGGCUGUCUCUCCUUCAGUAGCACACUGGACCCUUUAAACCUGAUUUCAUUGGCUGACUUCUUGGAGCAGAGACUCCAUCAUUUACCUUUGUUAAUCAGGAGCGUUGAGAAUGGGCCCUGAUUGCAGCAAGAAGUCAUCAACAUUUGAGCGGCCUUUAAAAAUUAUAUGAUUCUGACACAUGCUACAACAUGGAUGAACCUUGAGG
ensembl:lncRNA